rnacentral:lncRNA from 10 species
GGCAGAGUGACACCGGAGGAGCAGGGGAGGUUUGAACAUAAGGGUUUUACAGCACCAAGAAACCUUAGCUCCAUUAUCUUACACUUGGAGGUCUCUCACGGAUAAAUCAGCUGCUUUUCAAAAUAGAAGAGACUUAUGAAAAUGUAUCACUUGGCAGACAUAGAAAGCAGCUGCUUAUCAUCAUUAAUUUUCAAUAAAUAUGUAUUAAGCAACAGGAUAUAGAUCACUCUGUGAGGUUCAGGACCUUGGGAAAAUACAGUAUCCUAGAGACAGCAUUAACACAAGGCACGACUCAAGGCCGCUCCUGUCAUCUACACCCCUCCCGCUCUGCACGGCUGACUCAGAGCCUCCUGGCCUGCGGAGGAGCAAGAGGCACUGCACAGGCCACAGCGGGUUGUGAUCCAGGAGAGGCCAUUGGUUGGGGCGGGGGGAUGUUAAUUCCUCUGAGGUUGUGGGCAGGGGAGAUUUUCUUGGAGGACAUUCAUUUCCCAGUGGGGAGGGAAGAUUGAGACUAUAAUGUCUCUAGGGAAAUUUAAUAAUUAAGGAAGGUCCACAUGAUGGAACUGUGGGCCAUUUUCUAUUUCAGGCCUUAUGGUUAUUUUGCCUUUACCAUAGGGCGGUGCUUAUCACCAGCAAGACUGACCAACAAACCAGCUGUGGAGGGAAAUUGAGAGUGGGCUCCCUGCUGAAGACAGUAGACAUGGCCAUCAAUUAAUGUCCUGUUUUCUCCCGUGCAGAGCCUCUCAGGGCCAAAGCUGGAUUGUACCGGGCUGGGAAAACAAAAAAUAAAUACAUGGGGAGAGAAUGUUGAGGGGUGACUUGCUAACCAGUCAGUUGAAUUCCAGGCACAGAUUGAGUUGCUUCUGGAGUGGGCAGGGUCACUGUGAACGCCUACGUGAGCCUCUUCUGCACCACACAGCAGAAACUUAUUGAAAUUGGCAUCUUUGGGAGCUCGCUGUCAUCUCUUCACAAAACAUCCCCACGGAAAGCCAAACUUUCCCUUAGCAAGCGUGGCAACGUCCCAGAGUGCAGCCUGGAUCCCGUCAAGGAUAUCACAUGAUACUUCCUUGUCAUGUUUCCUUAGGCUCAUCUUGACUGUCCAUUUCUCAGACCUUCCUUGAUUUUGGUGACCUUGACAAUGUUGAGGAACAGUGGUCAGAAACCAAGUGAUGGCAGCUUUGUGUGGGGCUAAUCAGCUUCAUCCAAGUGCAGUCUUCAUCUGAGUGCACCCUGACAGUGCCUUGUUCAGAUCUGCUCACACGUCUCUUGGCUACCAGCCUGUGACUUCUGAUAAUGCCAGGGCAUGGGAUGCCACAGGAACCCCUUGGUGCCCACAUAUACAUGACUCAGUUGUGCAGGAUAGUUAAUGCUCCACUUGAAAGCUCUUUAAACAAUGGGAGAAAGGAACCAAUAAAUAAACGUUUCCUACCCCACGCCACAGCACUGACUCUGAGUCACAUUUUCUGUGGUUUCUCGGAAGACAUCGUGGUGUUAAACACACAAUCUCCCAUCUCAGCGGCCAGUGUAGCUUGCAUUGACUCACUCUUCUUUGCUGAAAUGCUUUCCCUGUUCCUUAGCUUUGCUCUUGGGAUCAUAAUUCCCAAUGAAAGCUUUGAUCAACAGUGUUUCUCUCAGGUUUUCUUUUCGAAAGAACUUAGGCUAAGACAGAUCAAUACAGUGUUGUAACCAGCUAGUAUGCAUUCCUUCCAAAGAUUUAUUAAGUCCUCCUGUGUGCAAAGCAUCAUGGUAGGCUUGGAGACAACUGGGAAAAUAAUCAAAUAAAUCAUUACAAGUAUAAAUGCUGUGAAGGAGAAGCACAGAGUGCUUUCAGAUUGUAAUAUCCUAAUCUAGGGAACUAAAAAGGGGCUUCUCCACUGAGACCUGAAGGAUGAAUAGGACCACUCCUGGGAAGAGGCAGGAGAAAAGGAGGGAGUAUGGUGGGAAGUGAGACAGCAGAUUCCAAGGGCUGGAGGCAAGUGAAGGUGGGUGUUUUUAAGAAUUCAAAGUAGCCCAGCCCUAGUGGGCUAAUGGCUAAGCGGAGAGAACAGAGAGAUUGGAGAGGAGUAUGAGGAAAAAGACUUUGGCGGAGUGAACAAGAACCCAACUGUGAAGAACCUUGAGCACUUAUCCGGUGAGCCACAGGAAACCUCUGGAGGGCUCUGAGUAGAGUAUUCCUCAAAGAUGACUUUGUCUAUGGAUGCGAGGAGUAUUAGGGGUCAGGAUCAUGCAGGAAGGCUAAUUAGAGGGCCAUUCAAGUGAUCUAAGCCAAAGAUGAAGAUGGUACCAAAUACAGUGGUGGCAGGUAAGAGGAAGAGAAGGUAAAUGAUUUGAGAGCUGCUAAAAUAGGGAUUUUUCAAUUUUUUGGAAGUUAAUAUAUGAGAUGAAUACAAUUUGUCGGAAGUUUUACAUAUCAUUUGUAUAAUUUGUGCAGAAACUUCACUUGCUAUUUGUAAUUUUCUUUAGGUGAGAAGGAUUUUUAAUACAUUUUAAAAGCACUUAAAACAAUUUUUAAUACACUAUAUAAUGUUAAAAUUUUCAUUUUCAUCAUGAAGGUAAAAAUGUAAGAGCC